CUUGGACUCAAAUGAGGUUCUCAGGCAGUCCUAUGUUGUCCCUUGCGAUGCCACUGGGCACUUGGCCUCCCUGAAGAAGCCACCAAAACCAGUGUGGGAAGUUCAGAAAUGGCUCCAGACAGGCAUUUCUACAGUCUCUUCCAGUUCCAUGUUCCUGGACUUUGCUGUCAGGUGUUCAGUCCAGGGGCACAAAGCAGGCUGUACCAUGUGACAUCAGGAAUUGCAGCGACCUCAGGCAACAAAACAAAGGAGAUGAGGAAAAGGCCCCCAGAUCUUUCAUGACAUAGUUGAGCUGCAGAACCAACAGUGUAACUGGAAUUCUUUUCAAGUAAAUUCCAAGCAUCCUUAUGGUUAAGACAUUGACAGUUCAAUUUUCCGUUACUUGCUGCUGAAAGCAUUUUUAACCUGCCUCCCCAUAAAUAUGACUCAUUUACAACAUCUGAAGUUUCUUUUAAUCUAAUGCUCUUUCAGCUUCAUCUCCCACUGGAAAUUCUUGAUAGUAUCCCUGUUGAAGUCUCCCAAGAGAAAGAAUGCAGUUGACCCAAUUCAUCUCUUUGAGCCAGGCCAGAUCGCAGGACGCUGGCC
rnacentral:lncRNA from 1 species